UGAGGAAUAUUGGGCAAUGCCCGCAAGGGUGACCCAGCAACGCCGCGUGGAGGAUGAAUGUCGUAAGAUUGUAAACUCCUGUUAGAGGGGAAGAAUAGUACCGGUUGGACCGGUAUAUGACUGUACCCUCAGAGAAAGCCCCGGCUAACUACGUGCCAGCAGCCGCGGUAAUACGUAGGGGGCAAGCGUUGUCCGGAUUUACUGGGUGUAAAGGGCGCGCAGGCGGGAUAAAAAGUCAGUGGUGAAAUCCUACAGCUUAACUGUAGAACUGCCUUUGAUACUUUUAUUCUUGAGUUCGGGAGAGAGACGGAAUUCCAGGUGUAGUGGUGAAAUACGUAGAUAUCUGGAAGAACACCAGUUGCGAAGGCGGUCUCUUGGUCCGACACUGACGCUGAGGCGCGAAAGCGUGGGGAGCAAACA
rnacentral:rRNA from 1 species